GAACGUGAAGCCACCUUCGGGUGGUGGAAAGUGGCAGACGGGUGAGUAACGCGUGGGAACGUGCCUUUCGGUUCGGAAUAACCCAGGGAAACUUGGGCUAAUACCGGAUACGCCUUUCGGGGGAAAGAUUUAUCGCCGAAAGAUCGGCCCGCGUCGGAUUAGCUAGUUGGCGGGGUAACGGCCCACCAAGGCGAAGAUCGGUAUCCGGCCUGAGAGGGCGCACGGACACACUGGAACUGAAACACGGUCCAGACUCCUACGGGAGGCAGCAGUGGGGAAUUUUGCGCAAUGGGGGAAACCCUGACGCAGCAACGCCGCGUGGAGGAUGAAGCCCUUUGGGGCGUAAACUCCUUUCGACCAAGACGAUAAUGACGGUACUGGUGGAAGAAGCACCGGCUAACUCUGUG
rnacentral:rRNA from 1 species